AAUUCCACCAACAACCAUAAACCCUUCCUUAUUAACAAAUGAUUUUAUAAUAAUAUAAAAAACAUUAUGCUAGAACUAGUAACAAGAAUUCAUAUUCUCCUAAAUGUAAGUAUAAGCCAAAAUAACGCAAUAUUAACGAAAAUGAACUUGCUACAGUAACUAUCAAGAAAACCCUGCACAAACUUAUCGUAAACCUAACACUAGAACAUUUCAGGAAAGAUUAAAAGAAAAAGAAGGAACUAGGCAAAUCUCAACCCCGCCUGUUUACCAAAAACAUCGCCUCUUGCCCCCCAUAAGAGGUCCAGCCUGCCCAGUGACAAAGUUCAACGGCCGCGGUACCCUGACCGUGCGAAGGUAGCAUAAUCACUUGUUCUUUAAAUAAGGACUAGUAUCAACGGCAUCACGAGGGUUGCACUGUCUCCUUUUUCUAAUCAGUGAAACUGAUCUCCUCGUGAAGAAGCGAGGAUAAAAAUAUAAGACGAGAAGACCCCAUGGAGCUUCAAACCUCAAGCAACUUAUUAAUACACAUCUUAACAGCUAUAAAGCUAUGCCCACCGGUUUUAGGUUGGGGUGACCACGGAGAAAAAAUUAACCUCCAUAACGAAAAGAACUAAAUCUUUAUCUAAGAGCAACUACUCUAAGAAUUAGAACACUAACGUAUAAUGACCCGACAAACGAUCAACGAACUAAGUUACCCUGGGGAUAACAGCGCAAUCUACUUCUAGAGCCCCUAUCAACAAGUAGGCUUACGACCUCGAUGUUGGAUCAGGGUAUCCCUGUGGUGCAGCCGCUACUAAUGGUUC
rnacentral:rRNA from 1 species